AGGACAGGACGCCGCCGGGUGCACGUCCCGGGGACACACCGACGGCGCCGUGCGUGGUGCUCACGCCCCGGGGGGGCUCUGUCCCCCCCCCAAGCCCCCAGUGUCGGUGCUGGCCUCAGGUCGAAGCCGCCCCUUGCCCGUUUCUUCUCCCCGGAGGAGGGGGUUUUGGGGGGUUGUUUUCAGGCACAAAUCCUGCCCCUCCCGGAGCGGUGCUGGGAGCGCUGGAGCCGAGGGAAGCUUCGGGGGGGAGAGCAGAAAAACGGGGAGGGGAAGAGGAUCGCGGGGGGAGAGCCUGGGAAGGGGUUAGGGUGCUGGAAUGAGAGGGGACCCUGCUGUCCCCAUGGGGCGCCCUGCUGGUUUUUAGGGUCUGGCGCAGAGGUGACCCCACUGAGGCUGCGGGGCACAGCCCUGGGGGGCGGGGGGGGCUUCGUGCGGUUGGUUUGGGGCUUCCCCUCCUGGAGGCUCCUGGGUGGGUCCGGACAAAGCCCCACAGUCGGCAUCCUCCUCCUCCUCCUCCCCCAUAGUGGGACACGGGCUGCUGGGGGGCCCCCCGGACCCCUCCCCUCCCAGCAACAGGAGGAGGAGGAGGAAGGGGAGGAGGAGGAAGGGGUUGAAGCCCCCAUCCUGCCCUCCCCUACACAGCAACAGGGCAGCGAUUGGGCGCUCAGGGGCUCGCAGGACCAAUGGGGUCUCCUCCUUUUUUUGGGGAGGGGGAGAAAGGAAGGCGCAGCCCCUCUCCCCUUCGCCUCCCCCCCACCCUCGGGAGGCAGCCCCCGGCCCCCAGCUGGUGGAAAGCGGCAACUGCAGCCGCGGGGGGUGAAGCACCCUUGGGGGGAUGCUUUUGGGGUCCCAGCAGGGCCAGGUCCUCCCCUUGGUCCCCUGCACCGAGCUGGCUUUGCCCCAGCUCCUAGGGUGGGCACCCCUGGGGGCAGGGUGGCUCCCAAACCCCAUUGCCAGGACCCCUGGGUGCAGGUCAGUUCCCAAACCCCACUGCUGGGGGCCGUGGGGAGGGGGAGAAAAGCCGUGGCCACGUGUGAUGGGCAACACCAGCAGCCUCAGGGACCUCAGCAGGCUGCAGGAGGUGGCGAUGGGGACGUGGGGACGUGCACGUCCCUUUGGGGCUCCGGGAUGUGGGAAAGGGCUGGAGUGGGGUCUUUGUGCCUCUGCCCUCAUCUGGCUUCUGCAAGAGCCUUUCCUGGAGCAGGAGGCCCUUUCUGUGCACCCCAGCUCUCCAAAACUCCUUCCCAUCUGAUUUUUUUUUUCAGCAUCUUCCAAAAUAAAGCAAGGCUGAAUGCCGGAGGAUGUGAAAGCACCCAAAAUACAACCAGCAGCACCGCUGUCCUUUCUCAUCCUUCCCCUAGCUGGCAGCUUUCAGCCUGUUUUUUUUUUCCCCUAUAUUUUUACACGAACCCCACACGCGGAGUGUUGGGGUGGCAGCUCCGUGGCACGGGGAAGGCAGCAGCCACGCAUGCAGUGUCUGGAGCAGCCACCAGACGGCAAAUCCAGCCCGGGUUAUGGCAGCGGGGAGGUCUGGUCUGCAGGAGGGGAUGCUCAGAGCAGCCCAGACACCCAGCCCUCGGCCUCUCCCUGCGUUUUGGGAUCCCUCAGACACGUUCGGUGCAGUUACAGAAAGGGCUUUAUUGGCCGGUAUGA
rnacentral:lncRNA from 1 species